AAAGACUUUAAGUUAAGGGCGAGGUUCAAACGAGGAAAGGCUUGCG
rnacentral:sRNA from 1 species